CCAUGGGAUGGAGAAAGAAAAAAAAAAAAUACAUUUUCUGGUGGAUUUUCUUGUCCCUGUUGUUCAUGGAAUGUGGAUAUGUGUUGGUUUUCUUUGGUUGUGUAAUUCUAGGUAAAUCUGGACAAAGUAAUAGGAGAAGCUGAUGAUUUUUCGAUUUUGAAAGAAUGUCUGGGACUCAAGCGGGACUCGUCUGUGGAGAUUUCAACCGCU
rnacentral:misc_RNA from 1 species